rnacentral:ncRNA from 1 species
UUUCGAUAAAGGCAAACCUCCGCCACAGUACUUGGCGGACCCGCCAGAUAGUGUGGCGGGUACGGUGACGUAGGGACGCAAAGUUCCGGUCCCACCACCUGUUUUUGUUAGGUGGCGGGAGGCCGAGCUGCCGAA